rnacentral:rRNA from 1 species
AGACGUCAUGAUUCGUAGGUGACCUGCGGAAGGAUCAUUA